UACGGGGGGUGCGAGCGUUGUCCGGAAUCACUGGGCGUAAAGGGCGCGUAGGUGGUUUGAUAAGGGUGUGGUGAAAGUCCGGGGCUCAACUCCGGAUCUGCCGUGCCGACUGUCAAACUCGAGGGCUGUAGAGGCAGAUGGAAUUCCGGGUGUAGCGGUGGAAUGCGUAGAGAUCCGGAGGAAGACCGGUGGCGAAGGCGGUCUGCUGGGCAGUUUCUGACACUGAGGCGCGCGAGCGUGGGGAGCAACAGG
rnacentral:rRNA from 1 species